rnacentral:tRNA from 1 species
GAUUCUUUAGUAUAAUUUAAGUAUAUCUGAUUUCCAAUCAGAGGGUUAAGGGAUUA